rnacentral:lncRNA from 12 species
UUUAUAAAGCAAAUAGAAUCUCUGUACUAAUUUCUUAAAAUAAAAGUAAUUUUUAUUUUUUUGUAUUUAUUUAUGUUAAAGAUUUUACUUAUUUAUUCAUGACACAGAGACAAAGGCAGAAGGAGAAGCAGGCUCGCUGCAGGGAGCCCGAUGUGGGACUCGAUCCCAGGACCCCGGGUCACAUCCGAGCCAAAGGCAGACAGACGCUCAACUACUGAGCCACCCAGGCCUCCCUAAAAAUAAGUUUUAAAACCCUUUCUUGCAAUCUACCCCUCAUACUAUGGAAGUUUCUCCAUAAAGAAAACAGUGGGGAAGUCCCCUGACAGGGCAACUGGUUGUUUCUAUUAAAUCAUCAUUAAGUCUGUUGAUUUGUAUGCAUCAACUUCUUUGGCCAUUAACAUUGCCCUGGGGGGUUAUCUUUUACAAUCCACUCCUCAUGACACACACACACACACACACACACACGCACAUACACACACCUUCAGACUAAACACACACUCCAGCUAAUUUCCAUUUGCAGGCAGUUGCCUGGACAAGUAUCAUUCACACCUGUUCGUGUCCAGUGCUGAUGGAAGUCACAGUCUUCCAGUGAAACAGUGACAUAAUGGCGGAAGUCCAAACAGAGCUAUUCCUGAGUCUUGAAGUUGAACCCUAUCUAACAUAUUAAGUGAAGUCUUGGAAAAGAAAACAUUUUCCCCCCAGAUUUGAUAUCAACAAAGCCCACCCACUCCUGGAGAGGGAGAAGUGCUGAGAAACAUAGCACAGCAUUGAACUUAAUGGGGACUCAGUGUUAAGGCUGUGCGCACCAGAUUCUUCUGCAGUAUAGGCAGCAGCACAAAGGGACACAUGCACAGGGUUCAUCAAACUCUGGCAUUGUCAUCUGUUUCAUGCUCUAUUCUUUAAUUCUUUCAGAGUUCAGCUCAGUAGCCACCUCCCACAGGCCCUUUUCCUCGGUUACCACCAGCCCACGUAGAGCCAUGACAGUGAGGUGCAGCGAAACUACAUUAUACAGCUUCCACUUUGGAAGGGCCUGCAAGUUCUGGCUUUUCUCCCUAUCUUUUCAUUCUUGACAAAACUGGUUAAUGGAGAGAUACUCUCUGCUUUGUAAACCACAAUUAUGUUGGAAAUAAAACUCAGUAAAAGGUGCA